CAGUAACCGCCCGGUCCAGGUUUGUGGCGUCUUGUCGCCAUAGCCAAUUGUUGUCAAGGUGAUCUGAAAGGUCAGAGUUACAUAGUCAGAUGCUUCCAGUGGGGAAGAUGGAGGCGCUGCCAGGGCCUGUCUGUGUCAUGUCACCCACUCUGCCUCCUGCUGCUGCGCCUGGAUAAACACAGACUGCUCUGGAUGGACUCUGGUUGACCACCCACAAUGACAGUGGAGAAACAGUUUUCCUGUAAUGCUUUUGUGCAGACUCGUACAUCUCUGAGGCUCUAUGUGGGCAAACUUCAGUGUCGAUGCCAGAAGCCUCUCAGGCCUACUUCACCUGGCAGCAGGACAAGACUGAAUUUAUUGAUCGGUCCGUUUCUUGUUUGUGUCUUGUCUGCUUCCACAUUUUCAGAGGAGGAUAUAGGAGGAAACAGUGCGGUGCGGCCAGCCGAGC